CUCUCUCAAACCUUCGGGUUUGGUAUUGAGUAAUACUCUGUCAAGGGUUAACUUGAAAUAUUGACUUAGCAAGAGUGUACUAAUAAGCAGUCCUUCUGAAAUAAUGUAUUAGGUUCUUCCAACUCGUUAUAUCAGCUAGGCAGGUUUAGAAGUAUUUUAGGCUCGGCUUAACAACAAUAAACUAAAA
rnacentral:misc_RNA from 1 species